rnacentral:rRNA from 1 species
GACGAACGCUGGCGGCGUGCCUAAUACAUGCAAGUUGAGCGCUGAAGGUUGGUACUUGUACCAACUGGAUGAGCAGCGAACGGGUGAGUAACGCGUGGGGAAUCUGCCUUUGAGCGGGGGACAACAUUUGGAAACGAAUGCUAAUACCGCAUAAAAACUUUAAACACAAGUUUUAAGUUUGAAAGAUGCAAUUGCAUCACUCAAAGAUGACCCCGCGUUGUAUUAGGUAGUUGGUGAGGUAAAGGCUCACCAAGGCGAUGAUACAUAGCCGACCUGAGAGGGUGAUCGGCCACAUUGGGACGGAGACACGGCCCAAACGCCUACGGGAGGCAGCAGUAGGGAAUCGUGGGCAAGGGGCGAAAGUCUGACCGAGCAACGCCGCGUGAGUGAAGAGGGAUUUCGGAUCGUAAAACUCUGUUGGUAGAGAAGAACGUUGGUGAGAGUGGAAAGCUCAUCGAGUGACGGUAACUACCCAGAAAGGGACGGCUAACUACGUG